rnacentral:tRNA from 1 species
GCACUAGUGGUUCAGUAGUAGAAUUCUUGUCUUCCAUGUGGGAGACCUGGGUUCGAUUCCCAGCCAAUGCA